rnacentral:tRNA from 1 species
UAGAUAAUGAAGUAAAAUUACAUUUAGUUUCGACCUAAAAUUAGGAAAGUAUUUUCCCUUAUCUAA